GGGAACCACGGCUCAUGGGACCUCAUGUGGUCCCUAGGCAGGUGACUUUUAGUUGAAGGUUAAAUGGUCUUUUCCGGUUUCAAUCUAACUUAAGUGAGGUCGUUUUUCCUAAGGUUAGGACAACUAUAUAAGCCUUUUUAACUCUAAAACUCACCCAAUUAAGUCAUAUUUUCCAAAACCCAAAACAUUUCCCCAAAGUUCAUCCUCUAAAAAUUCUCUCUAGAAAGCUUGAAGAAGAAGGAGAUCCAAGAUAGGGUUCAAGAGCAAGCUUUUACACAUCAAUUUAUUUGUUAUUUUUUGUUAAUGUAUGGUAGUUUUCAUCCAUGGAUAGAUUUCAUCCAUGGAGUCCUCUCAAAAUCACCAAUUUCAAAAAGAUAGAAAUCCUCAAUUGUUAGGGUUUGAUUCCAAAGUAAUGGGUUCCUUUCCAACUUGAUUCUAAUGGUUGAAUUAUGUUGUAUUAAGCAUGAAUUGAUGAUUUUCUAUGAUUUUUUAUGAUGUAUCCCCAAGAACCCAUGAAAUUCCCAUAUUUCUCAAUUGUGAUCUUAUGAUGUGGGUCUUUGUUGAUGAAAGAGGAAUGUUAUGAAAUUAUGCAUGUAGUGAUUAAAUAACAUUAAUUAUAAUCAAAUCCAUAUCUAGUGCUUGAAUUCUAGAUGUGUUGAUUCAAAGCAAGCUUUGAAUCCAUGUCUAAUGCUUGAAUUCUAGAUGUGUUGAUUGAUUUGAACCUUGAAAGGGCAAAGUAUGAGAUCAUGCAUGCUUUAUGACAUUUAUGUAAAUGCUUUAAGAACACUUUGAGAGUGAAGUGUCCAUGAUUCUGAUAUUGUUGUUGUGUUGUUGAAAGGAUAUUCUCAUAUACACACAUAUGCAUGAACAUGAUGUGAAAAGUUUUCUCACAUAAUGAAGAUUCUAAG
rnacentral:lncRNA from 1 species